rnacentral:rRNA from 1 species
ACGGAAGGCAGCAGUGGGGAAUAUUGCACAAUGGGGGAAACCCUGAUGCAGCGACGCCGCGUGAGUGAUGACGUAUUUCGGUAUGUAAAGCUCUAUCAGCAGGGAAGAUAAUGACGGUACCUGACUAAGAAGCCCCGGCUAACUACGUGCCAGCAGCCGCGGUAAUACGUAGGGGGCAAGCGUUAUCCGGAUUUACUGGGUGUAAAGGGUGCGUAGGUGGCAUGGCAAGUCAGAAGUGAAAACUCGGGGCUCAACCCCGUAGAUUGCUUUUGAAACUGUCAAGCUAGAGUGCAGGAGAGGAAAGCGGAAUUCCUAGUGUAGCGGUGAAAUGCGUAGAUAUUAGGAGGAACACCAGUGGCGAAGGCGGCUUUCUGGACUGUAACUGACACUGAGGCACGAAAGCGUGGGGAGCAAACAGGAUUAGAUACCCUGGUA